rnacentral:rRNA from 1 species
AGAGUUUGAUCAUGGCUCAGAGUGAACGCUAGCGGUGUGCUUAACACAUGCAAGUCGAGCGAGGGCAGGUCUUCGGAUCUGACCCGAGCGGCGCACGGGUGCGUAACACGUGGGUAAUCUACCUUAGAGUGGGGGAUAACCCGCCGAAAGGCGGACUAAUACCGCAUAACAUCCCUUUAACGACGGUUAGGGGGAUCAAAGACGGGGAUCCGCAAGGACCCGUCACUCUAAGAUGAGCCCGCGGCCCAUCAGCUUGUUGGCGGGGUAAUGGCCCACCAAGGCGACGACGGGUAGCCGGCCUGAGAGGGUGAUCGGCCACACUGGAACUGAGACACGGUCCAGACUCCUACGGGAGGCAGCAGUGGGGAAUAUUGCGCAAUGGGGGAAACCCCGACGCAGCAACACCGCGUGGAGGAAGAAGGCCUUCGGGUUGUAAACUCCUGUCAGUUGGGAAAAAGGUCCGGGAGGUGAACAAUCUUCCGGGUUUGAUUGUACCAGCAGAGGAAGCCCCGGCUAACUACGUGCCAGCAGCCGCGGUAAAACGUAGGGGGCCAGCGUUACUCGGAAUUACUGGGCGUAAAGGGUGCGUAGGCGGCAUGGCAAGUCUUUGGUGAAAUCCCUUGGCUUAACCAAGGAAGCGCCGGAGAUACUGCUUUGCUUGAGUCCGGUAGAGGGAAGUGGAAUUCCCGGUGUAGCGGUGAAAUGCGUAGAUAUCGGGAGGAACACUCAUGGCGAAGGCAGCUUUCUGGACCGGCACUGACGCUGAUGCACGAAAGCGUGGGUAGCAAACAGGAUUAGAUACCCUGGUAGUCCACGCCCUAAACGAUGGGUACUUGGUGUCGCGGGUAUCGACUCCCGCGGUGCCGGA